CAAGUGAUACUAGAUAGAGAUGGAAAUUUAGAGAAAUU
rnacentral:sRNA from 1 species